UACGUAGGGGGCAAGCGUUGUCCGGAAUCAUUGGGCGUAAAGCGCGUGUAGGCGGCCACGUUAGUCCGUUCUGAAAGCCCGGGGCUCAACCCCGGGAGGCGGAUGGAUACUGCGUGGCUCGAGUCCGGAAGAGGCGAGUGGAAUUCCUGGUGUAGCGGUGAAAUGCGCAGAUAUCAGGAGGAACACCAAUGGCGAAGGCAGCUCGCUGGGACGUGACUGACGCUGAGACGCGAAAGCGUGGGGAGCAAACAGG
rnacentral:rRNA from 1 species